rnacentral:rRNA from 1 species
GACGAAUGCUGGCUGCGUGCUUAACACAUGCAAGUCGAACGGUGAAGGGGAGCUUGCUCCCCGGAUCAGUGGCGAACGGGUGAGUAACACGUGGGCAACCUGCCCCUCACUCUGGGAUAACUCCGGGAAACCGGGGCUAAUACCGGAUACGACCGGGAGCGACAUCGCUCCUGGUGGAAAGAACUUCGGUGAGGGAUGGGCCCGCGGCCUAUCAGCUAGUUGGUGGGGUAACGGCCCACCAAGGCGACGACGGGUAGCCGGCCUGAGAGGGCGACUGGCCACACUGGGACUGAGACACGGCCGAGACUCCUACGGGAGGCAGCAGUGGGGAAUAUUGCGCAAUGGGCGAAAGCCUGACGCAGCGACGCAGCGUGAGGGACGAAGGCCUUCGGGUUGUAAACCUCUUUCAGCGGGGACGAAGCGAAAGUGACGGUACCCGCAGAAGAAGCACCGGCUAACUACGUGCCAGCAGCCGCAGUAACAC